GGGCGCAAGCCUGAUGCAGCGACGCCGCGUGAGGGAUGGAGGCCUUCGGGUUGUAAACCUCUUUUAUCGGGGAGCAAGCGAGAGUGAGUUUACCCGUUGAAUAAGCACCGGCUAACUACGUGCCAGCAGCCGCGGUAAUACGUAGGGUGCAAGCGUUAUCUGGAAUUAUUGGGCGUAAAGGGCUCGUAGGCGGUUCGUCGCGUCCGGUGUGAAAGUCCACCGCUUAACGGUGGAUCCGCGCCGGGUACGGGCGGGCUUGAGUGCGGUAGGGGAGACUGGAAUUCCCGGUGUAACGGUGGAAUGUGUAGAUAUCGGGAAGAACACC
rnacentral:rRNA from 1 species